rnacentral:antisense_RNA from 1 species
GAAACGAAAAAACCACCCGGCAAGGUGGUUUGUUCGAAGGUGUAGUCAGUUGGGGAACCGACUUCACCUGGUAACGGCUCCGUAGAGGGAAGCAGUCACCUAAAAGCCUAAUAAGUUUAGCCUCCUUGGCGCCCAUCAAUCAAGCAUUCCCUCUCUCUACGCCCGUUACCAAAGGCCACCACCUUUGGCGCUUUGUCGUACCCGCACGGAUUGGAAGCAUGAGUUUGUUGCCGUGAGUGGGUGUGGUUGGUCGGGCAGAACGGGGAAUUCUCACAUACUGCCCAGCGUGCGAUCGCGCAUCACAGCCUCUCUGGACUCGCAAUCCAGAGGCAUUUGCCAGUAGAGCGUAACGGGGAACCAACCACGGCCAGCUCUUUAAACACGGCGCGGCAGUCCGGCCCAUAGGUGGGGACUGAAGCAGAUGCAGCAGGACGGGAUGUGUCUCUGGAGCGCGUGAGAGGGAGUCGUCGCAAACGGCCUCGAUAGUCCAGAGCAAGGCGAGCUUAUCCAG